CACUUACUCCCUCCGAUCCAUAUUAAUUGUCAAAAUAUUACAUGUAUCUAGACGCUUUUUAGGCAUAGAUACAUCCAUAUUUGGGCAAAUUUAAGACAAUUAAUAUGGAUCGGAGGGAGUAGUUG
rfam:Brachypodium distachyon strain Bd21 chromosome 1, whole genome shotgun sequence.